GCUUGUUUUAGCAAUGCAUUUACCCAAACUGGAAUGAUAUAGAGAAAAUUAGCAUGACUACUGCACAAAGAUGACAUGUAAAUUGUUCUCUAUUUAA
ensembl:snRNA U6 U6 spliceosomal RNA